rfam:Heterocephalus glaber contig62279, whole genome shotgun sequence.
GGAUAUGAAGGCAAUGUGGCUCCAACAUGUCACUCUACUGAUUAUUAGGGUUGAGUUGGCUGAUCUGGCUGGCUAUAUGAGUAUCCCCUUCCUUCCUCAUUGUUCCAUGUGUGUCCUGCCUGAAGCUGUGCGUUUGGUUAAAGAGGACAACCCUCCCCGAUAGAGGAGGACCAUUUCUUAGGUCAAGGGUAUAUGAGUAGCUGCAUUCCCCCACUAGAAUCUCCAAACAAGCUAUCAGGAACAGCUUGGGCCAUAAGGUGACAACCUGUCUCAAAAAAAAUUUGUUUUAAAUCUAUAGAAAACCACACUAU